ACACAUGCAAGUCGAACGGCACCUGCCCUCGGGCAGAAGCGAGUGGCGAACGGCUGAGUAACACGUGGAGAACCUGCCCCCUCCCCCGGGAUAGCCGCCCGAAAGGACGGGUAAUACCGGAUACCCCGGGGUGCCGCAUGGCACCCCGGCUAAAGCCCCGACGGGAGGGGAUGGCUCCGCGGCCCAUCAGGUAGACGGCGGGGUGACGGCCCACCGUGCCGACAACGGGUAGCCGGGUUGAGAGACCGACCGGCCAGAUUGGGACUGAGACACGGCCCAGACUCCUACGGGAGGCAGCAGUGGGGAAUCUUGCGCAAUGGGGGGAACCCUGACGCAGCGACGCCGCGUGCGGGACGGAGGCCUUCGGGUCGUAAACCGCUUUCAGCAGGGAAGAGUCAAGACUGUACCUGCAGAAGAAGCCCCGGCUAACUACGUGCCAGCAGCCGCGGUAAUACGUAGGGGGCGAGCGUUAUCCGGAUUCAUUGGGCGUAAAGCGCGCGUAGGCGGCCCGGCAGGCCGGGGGUCGAA
rnacentral:rRNA from 1 species